GACGAACGCUGGCGGCGUGCUUAACACAUGCCAGUCGAACGGAAAGGCCCUGCUUUUGUGGGGUGCUCGAGUGGCGAACGGGUGAGUAACACGUGAGUAACCUGCCCUUGACUUGGGACCACUUUAAGGAAAUUGGGGUAAAUGCGGGUACGAGCUCCCGCAGGAUGGGGGGGGGUGGGAAGGUUCGGGCGGUGGGGGAGGGACGGCCGGCUAGCUGGCUUGUGGGGGGGGUGGGGGCUUACCCGGCGUUUGGGGGGUAGCCGGCCUGGGAGGGUGACCGGCCACAUUGGGACUGAGGUACGACCCGCACUCCUGCGGGAGGCAUCGGGGGGGAAUAUUGCACGAUGGGCGGAAGCCUGAUGCAGCAACGCCGCGUGCGGAAUGACUGCCUUCGGGUUGUAAACCGCUUUCGCCUGUAACGAAGCGUGAGUGACGGUAAUGGGUAAAGAAGCGCCGGCUAACUACGUG
rnacentral:rRNA from 1 species